rnacentral:rRNA from 1 species
AUUGAACGCUGGCGGCAUGCCUUACACAUGCAAGUCGAACGGUAACGGGCCUUCGGGUGCCGACGAGUGGCGAACGGGUGAGUAAUACAUCGGAACGUGCCCGAUCGUGGGGGAUAACGAGGCGAAAGCUUUGCUAAUACCGCAUACGAUCUACGGAUGAAAGCAGGGGACCGCAAGGCCUUGCGCGGACGGAGCGGCCGAUGGCAGAUUAGGUAGUUGGUGGGAUAAAAGCUUACCAAGCCGACGAUCUGUAGCUGGUCUGAGAGGAUGAUCAGCAACACUGGGACUGAGACACGGCCCAGACUCCUACGGGAGGCAGCAGUGGGGAAUUUUGGACAAUGGGCGCAAGCCUGAUCCAGCCAUGCCGCGUGCAGGAUGAAGGCCUUCGGGUUGUAAACUGCUUUUGUACGGAACGAAAAGCCUUCUUCUAAUACAGGAGGGUCAUGACGGUACCGUAAGAAUAAGCACCGGUUAACUACGUGCCAGCCGCCGCAGUAA